rnacentral:rRNA from 1 species
UACGAAGAGUGCAAACGUUGCUCGGAAUCAUUGGGCGUAAAGCGCACGUAGGCGGCUUUGCAAGUCUGACGUGAAAUCCCUCAGCUCAACUGAGGAAGUGCAUCGGAAACUGCAAGGCUUGAGUACUGAAGAGGAUCGCGGAAUUCCCGGUGUAGAGGUGAAAUUCGUAGAUAUCGGGAGGAACACCAGUGGCGAAGGCGGCGAUCUGGGCAGAUACUGACGCUGAGGUGCGAAAGCGUGGGGAGCAAACAGG